rnacentral:rRNA from 1 species
AUCCAGACUCCUACGGGAGGCAGCAGUGGGGAAUAUUGCACAAUGGGGGAAACCCUGAUGCAGCGACGCCGCGUGAGCGAUGAAGUAUUUCGGUAUGUAAAGCCCUAUCAGCAGGGAAGAAAAUGACGGUACCUGACUAAGAAGCCCCGGCUAACUACGUGCCAGCAGCCGCGGUAAUACGUAGGGGGCAAGCGUUAUCCGGAUUUACUGGGUGUAAAGGGGGCGCAGACGGCGAUGCAAGCCAGGAGUGAAAGCCCGGGGCCCAACCCCGGGACUGCUCUUGGAACUGCGUGGCUGGAGUGCAGGAGGGGCAGGCGGAAUUCCUGGUGUAGCGGUGAAAUGCGUAGAUAUCAGGAGGAACACCGGUGGCGAAGGCGGCCUGCUGGACUGUAACUGACACUGAGGCACGAAAGCGUGGGGAGCAAACAGGAUUAGAUACCCCGGUAUU